rnacentral:rRNA from 1 species
UACAGAGGGUGCGAGCGUUAAUCGGAAUUACUGGGCGUAAAGCGUGCGUAGACGGUUAUUUAAGUCGGGUGUGAAAGCCCCGGGCUUAACCUGGGAAUGGCAUUUGGGACUGCAAGGCUUGAGUGCGGCAGAGGAGACUGGAAUUCCUGGUGUAGCAGUGAAAUGCGUAGAUAUCAGGAGGAACACCGAUUGCGAAGGCAGCUCGCUGGGACGUAACUGACGCUGAGACGCGAAAGCGUGGGGAGCAAACAGG